UACGUAGGGGGCUAGCGUUGUCCGGAAUCAUUGGGCGUAAGAGCGUGUAGGCGGCCCGGUAAGUCCGCUGUAAAAGUCAAAGGCUCAACCUUUGAAUGUCAGUGGAUACUGCCGGGCUAGAGUCCGGAAGAGGCGAGUGGAACUCCUGGUGUAGCGGUGGAAUGCGCAGAUAUCAGGAAGAACACCAACGGCGAAGGCAGCUCGCUAGGACGGUACUGACGCUGAGACGCGAAAGCGUGGGGAGCGAACAGG
rnacentral:rRNA from 1 species